CGGGGUGGGUAAUGCUUGGGAAUCUAGCUUAUGGGAGGGGAUAACUACGGGAAACUGUAGCUAAUACCGCGUAGAAUCGAGAGAUGAAAGUGUGGGACCUUCGGGCCACAUGCCAUAGGAUGAGCCCAAGUGGGAUUAGGUAGUUGGUGAGGUAAAGGCUCACCAAGCCGACGAUCUCUAGCUGGUCUGAGAGGAUGACCAGCCACACUGGGACUGAGACACGGCCCAG
rnacentral:rRNA from 1 species